GACAGUUGAGUCAUAAUGCCUAGAUCAUUGUGAACUCUUUUUCCACCCGGGGGCACGUAUGACCAUUCUGGAAUCAAAGCUUACCUUAGGAAAUCCUGAGGGGCCUUAUGCUGGUCAUACUUGACUGUCUUUUGCAGAUCUUAGAAUUAAUCCAAUUGGAAUUAAAUUAAAUUGCAAUUACCAUUUGAUUUAAUUGCAGUUAAAUUAUAUGUAGGCUAAGUAGCAAAAAUGAGGUAAUGUCAUUCUCAACAGACCUUGGGGAAAAAAGUUGGAAAUGACCUUUUCCACUGUGAAUGAUACAAGCAGCCUCAUUAUUACAGUCUGCUCCGUAGACUUCUGGGAGAUUACUGACUUCUCGGAAAGAAGAAAUUUUGAGGAUAAAGAAACUAUUUUGGAUCAGAAAUGGUGUAUCAAACUGUGUUAUUGAUGAAGAUGUUAAACGGUGAAAAUCCUUCCAAACAGCAAGAAUAGAUGGCCUCUGCUGUGCCUGCAGCUUUCCACUUGAGAGACACAGCUUAACUGGUCCAUAGUUGGCCAAAAGGACAUGCCUGUGGGAUCACAGAAAGUAAGGCUGAAGGAGUUGAGAGAUGCUACAAGUCAUCCUUUCCAUCCACAAAGAAGAACAGCUAAAUCUUGUCCUUUUCCUCACAUUCCUUCAUCUGAAUGUUCCUGGGAACAAGAAAAUGUCACAGAUCCACUAGUUGUGUCACUGAAGUAUCAUCUGUUGGACCAGAUGUCUUCUAAACUCUAAAGGCAAGAGCAGUCCCUAUUUGCUGAGAGUGUUCCAGAUGAAGAGAUACUCUGGGAUGGAGGGAAGCAUCUCCCCAUGCUUUUCCAGGUUGUUACACUUUACUCUGAGGAAGUAAAUGGAGUUCUGGCACUUACAGCUGAUUUCUGUUCUCUGCUUUAUGAAAGAUUAAAAGAAUGUGAAGAAUUAAAUCAAAUUGCUUAACUCUCUGUAUUUUCUAAGUAGUCUGUCAAGUAACUUUGCAAUCAAAUGCAAUUUCUCUGCUUUCGAGUUCCAACUUUGUGUACCUUUGUGUUCUAACUAGUGUCUGACAAAUCACCUUUCUAAGGUUCAUGUCAUUCUGCCUAGUCAGUGG
rnacentral:lncRNA from 1 species